AGAGUUUGAUCCUGGCUCAGAGCGAACGCUGGCGGCAGGCUUAACACAUGCAAGUCGAACGGGCAUAGCAAUAUGUCAGUGGCAGACGGGUGAGUAACGCGUGGGAACAUACCUCUUGGUUCGGAACAACACAGGGAAACUUGUGCUAAUACCGGAUAAGCCCUUACGGGGAAAGAUUUAUCGCCGAGAGAUUGGCCCGCGUCUGAUUAGCUAGUUGGUGUGGUAAAAGCGCACCAAGGCGACGAUCAGUAGCUGGUCUGAGAGGAUGAUCAGCCACAUUGGGACUGAGACACGGCCCAAACUCCUACGGGAGGCAGCAGUGGGGAAUAUUGGACAAUGGGCGCAAGCCUGAUCCAGCCAUGCCGCGUGAGUGAUGAAGGCCCUAGGGUUGUAAAGCUCUUUUGUACGGGAAGAUAAUGACGGUACCGUAAGAAUAAGCCCCGGCUAACUUCGUGCCAGCAGCCGCGGUAAUACGAAGGGGGCUAGCGUUGCUCGGAAUCACUGGGCGUAAAGGGUGCGUAGGCGGGUUUUUAAGUCAGAGGUGAAAUCCUGGAGCUCAACUCCAGAACUGCCUUUGAUACUGAAAGUCUUGAGUAUGGGAGAGGUGAGUGGAACUGCGAGUGUAGAGGUGAAAUUCGUAGAUAUUCGCAAGAACACCAGUGGCGAAGGCGGCUCACUGGCCCAUAACUGACGCUGAGGCACGAAAGCGUGGGGAGCAAACAGGAUUAGAUACCCUGGUAGUCCACGCCGUAAACGAUGAAUGCCAGCCGUUAGUGGGUUUACUCACUAGUGGCGCAGCUAACGCUUUAAGCAUUCCGCCUGGGGAGUACGGUCGCAAGAUUAAAACUCAAGGGAAUUGACGGGGGCCCGCACAAGCGGUGGAGCAUGUGGUUUAAUUCGACGCAACGCGCAGAACCUUACCAGCCCUUGACAUGUCUAUGACCGGUCGGAGAGAUCUGACCUUCCCUUCGGAGCAUGGA
rnacentral:rRNA from 1 species